rnacentral:rRNA from 1 species
GGCGAACGGGUGAGUACACGUGGGUGAUCUGCCCUGCACUUCGGGAUAAGCCUGGGAAACUGGGUCUAAUACCGGAUAUGACUUCAUGUUGCAUGACUUGGGGUGGAAAGAUUUAUCGGUGCAGGAUGGGCCCGCGGCCUAUCACCUUGUUGGUGGGGUAA